AUGAGGCAGCGCAGGGGCUGCUGCUUGGCCACCUGCUGCUUCGCCACGAAGGAGUUUCCAUGCCGUGGAGCGGGUUCACGACCGCUGAGGUCGGACCACCAGGAAUCCCAGCUGUGUGUCCCAGGGCUAGAAAGGGCUCGGGGAGUGCGCGUGAAGAGUGACCACACUGCAGUGUCCUGUGCCAGGAGAAGGGCUUGGGCACGCAGGACCUGGCCCAGGACGCUCAGACCACCAGCCUGCCUGCCUGCAUCAGGGAGAUUGUCACCUGCAACCUCUCCCGGCCUGAGAGCCCAGGUGCCACCCCCAUCCGCUCCCCUCCACAGACACCACCCACAUUUUACCUCUUCGCAUGUCCCUUUCCUGAGCAGUCACCAUGAUGAUCAUGACUGUAACUCGCUGUGGGACAGGCACAACCUUAUGACAGAAGAACCCAUUUUACAGAUGAGGAAACGGAGGCUCAGGGAUGAAUUUGCCCAGACUUAUUCCGCAUGUGGUGCAACUAGAAGGAAGGGUCGAGCAUCCCCUCCAUACUUGCCUGUAGCCUGCUGCAAAGAUGUGAACCCCAUAUCCCGUAUUCCCACCGGGGAAGGUGUGAGCUGGUUGAACCCAAGAUAUAGGGAGAGGGCAGCUCAGCUCAGACCAGGGUUUUGCAGAAGUCUGAGUGGAUGGCGCUGUCCAUGCAUUUCCCACGUGGGCAGGAAUGUGAAUGGUCCCUGCUUCUCUCAGCGGGUGGCACACAUGGUGUCGUUAUGUGGCUUGAGGGUCUGGGAAGGGCACAGUCAGUUGCAGCUGGUGUGCUGGCAGCUCUCCAUGAUGGCGUUUUGGUGUUCUAACCAUUGUCUCUGUUCAACUGACAAGCUACAGACUGGCCCCCUCCUUGGGAGCACCAGGGAUGCUGGCGCCCUGGAGCCCCAGACAGGGAGUGCCUUCACCCUGGCACCUGGGGCGUAUGUCCAGUUCUCCCAGGGUAGAAGGGAAACCCACAGAAGGUGGACAACCCAGCUUCUCCUGCUGGCCUUUCUUUCCCUCUUCUGUCUUUCUCUCCUCCUCCUCACAACCUGA
rnacentral:lncRNA from 1 species